GGAUUGACAGAUUGAGAGCUCUUUCUUGAUUCUGUGGGUGGUGGUGCAUGGCCGUUUUUAGUUGGUGGAGUAAUUUGUCUGGUUAAUUCCGUUAACGAACGAGACCUUAACCUAUUAAAUAGUCGUGGGAACCCAGGUCUUUCAUCCUCUUUCUCAGCAAUGGGGGGAGGAAACCAUUAUCAUAUUGGUACCCUCUGGGUAUCAUGUGGUAGUGGUGAGGAUCUGAUAGUGUUCUUAUAGGCUUCUUAGAGGGACUCUUUGCAUCUUUAGCAAAUGGAAGUUUGAGGCAAAAACAGGUCUGUGAUGCCCUUCGAUGUUCUGGGCUGCACGCGCGUUACAAUGACGCAUGCAACGAGUUAUUAAAUUCCUGGCCCGAUGGGGUUGGGUAAUCUUUUUAAAAGUUGCGUCGUGAUGGGGAUAGAGCAUUGCAAUUAUUGUUCUUGAACGAGGAAUUCCUAGUAAUUGCAGGUCAUCAACCUGCGAUGAUUACGUCCCUCGCCCUUUGUACACACC
rnacentral:rRNA from 1 species